GUGAUUUCCCCGCUCUUUCUCGGCUCUCCGAAGGAGAGGGGAAGACUGAAGAGGAGAAGGCCAUGGUGGUGGAGGCGACGGAGAACGUCAAGAAAGCGGAGUCGUCCCUGGAGGAGAAGCACCUUCCUUUCGGCGUCCUCUUCUUCUUUUCGCCUUCUCCCUGAGGAAAACAAAUUGGUGCUACCGUUCUUUCUUGGACUUGGGUUUCGAGGACAAAGAACUGUGGUAAACUGAUUAUAAUAUUGAACGGAUAUUAUAAUUUAUCAGAGUUUUCACUUUUAUAGUAUGAAUCUUACUACUUUUUCUUCA